rnacentral:rRNA from 1 species
UUAAGCGACUAAGCGUACACGGUGGAUGCCCUGGCAGUCAGAGGCGAUGAAGGACGUGCUAAUCUGCGAUAAGCGUCGGUAAGGUGAUAUGAACCGUUAUAACCGGCGAUUUCCGAAUGGGGAAACCCAGUGUGUUUCGACACACUAUCAUUAACUGAAUCCAUAGGUUAAUGAGGCGAACCGGGGGAACUGAAACAUCUAAGUACCCCGAGGAAAAGAAAUCAACCGAGAUUCCCCCAGUAGCGGCGAGCGAACGGGGAGCAGCCCAGAGCCUGAAUCAGUGUGUGUGUUAGUGGAAGCGUCUGGAAAGGCGCGCGAUACAGGGUGACAGCCCCGUACACAAAAAUGCACAUGCUGUGAGCUCGAUGAGUAGGGCGGGACACGUGGUAUCCUGUCUGAAUAUGGGGGGACCAUCCUCCAAGGCUAAAUACUCCUGACUGACCGAUAGUGAACCAGUACCGUGAGGGAAAGGCGAAAAGAACCCCGGCGAGGGGAGUGAAAAAGAACCUGAAACCGUGUACGUACAAGCAGUGGGAGCACGCUUCGGCGUGUGACUGCGUACCUUUUGUAUAAUGGGUCAGCGACUUAUAUUCUGUAGCAAGGUUAACCGAAUAGGGGAGCCGAAGGGAAACCGAGUCUUAACUGGGCGUUAAGUUGCAGGGUAUAGACCCGAAACCCGGUGAUCUAGCCAUGGGCAGGUUGAAGGUUGGGUAACACUAACUGGAGGACCGAACCGACUAAUGUUGAAAAAUUAGCGGAUGACUUGUGGCUGGGGGUGAAAGGCCAAUCAAACCGGGAGAUAGCUGGUUCUCCCCGAAAGCUAUUUAGGUAGCGCCUCGUGAAUUCAUCUCCGGGGGUAGAGCACUGUUUCGGCAAGGGGGUCAUCCCGACUUACCAACCCGAUGCAAACUGCGAAUACCGGAGAAUGUUAUCACGGGAGACACACGGCGGGUGCUAACGUCCGUCGUGAAGAGGGAAACAACCCAGACCGCCAGCUAAGGUCCCAAAGUCAUGGUUAAGUGGGAAACGAUGUGGGAAGGCCCAGACAGCCAGGAUGUUGGCUUAGAAGCAGCCAUCAUUUAAAGAAAGCGUAAUAGCUCACUGGUCGAGUCGGCCUGCGCGGAAGAUGUAACGGGGCUAAACCAUGCACCGAAGCUGCGGCAGCGACGCUGAUGCGUUGUUGGGUAGGGGAGCGUUCUGUAAGCCUGCGAAGGUGUGCUGUGAGGCAUGCUGGAGGUAUCAGAAGUGCGAAUGCUGACAUAAGUAACGAUAAAGCGGGUGAAAAGCCCGCUCGCCGGAAGACCAAGGGUUCCUGUCCAACGUUAAUCGGGGCAGGGUGAGUCGACCCCUAAGGCGAGGCCGAAAGGCGUAGUCGAUGGGAAACAGGUUAAUAUUCCUGUACUUGGUGUUACUGCGAAGGGGGGACGGAGAAGGCUAUGUUGGCCGGGCGACGGUUGUCCCGGUUUAAGCGUGUAGGCUGGUUUUCCAGGCAAAUCCGGAAAAUCAAGGCUGAGGCGUGAUGACGAGGCACUACGGUGCUGAAGCAACAAAUGCCCUGCUUCCAGGAAAAGCCUCUAAGCAUCAGGUAACAUCAAAUCGUACCCCAAACCGACACAGGUGGUCAGGUAGAGAAUACCAAGGCGCUUGAGAGAACUCGGGUGAAGGAACUAGGCAAAAUGGUGCCGUAACUUCGGGAGAAGGCACGCUGGUGUGUAGGUGAAGUCCCUGCGGAUGGAGCUGAGACCAGUCGAAGAUACCAGCUGGCUGCAACUGUUUAUUAAAAACACAGCACUGUGCAAACACGAAAGUGGACGUAUACGGUGUGACGCCUGCCCGGUGCCGGAAGGUUAAUUGAUGGGGUUAUCCGUAAGGAGAAGCUCUUGAUCGAAGCCCCGGUAAACGGCGGCCGUAACUAUAACGGUCCUAAGGUAGCGAAAUUCCUUGUCGGGUAAGUUCCGACCUGCACGAAUGGCGUAAUGAUGGCCAGGCUGUCUCCACCCGAGACUCAGUGAAAUUGAACUCGCUGUGAAGAUGCAGUGUACCCGCGGCAAGACGGAAAGACCCCGUGAACCUUUACUAUAGCUUGACACUGAACAUUGAGCCUUGAUGUGUAGGAUAGGUGGGAGGCUUUGAAGCGUGGACGCCAGUCUGCGUGGAGCCAACCUUGAAAUACCACCCUUUAAUGUUUGAUGUUCUAACGUUGGCCCCUUACCGGGGUUGCGGACAGUGUCUGGUGGGUAGUUUGACUGGGGCGGUCUCCUCCCAAAGCGUAACGGAGGAGCACGAAGGUUAGCUAAUCCUGGUCGGACAUCAGGAGGUUAGUGCAAUGGCAUAAGCUAGCUUGACUGCGAGCGUGACGGCGCGAGCAGGUGCGAAAGCAGGUCAUAGUGAUCCGGUGGUUCUGAAUGGAAGGGCCAUCGCUCAACGGAUAAAAGGUACUCCGGGGAUAACAGGCUGAUACCGCCCAAGAGUUCAUAUCGACGGCGGUGUUUGGCACCUCGAUGUCGGCUCAUCACAUCCUGGGGCUGAAGUAGGUCCCAAGGGUAUGGCUGUUCGCCAUUUAAAGUGGUACGCGAGCUGGGUUUAGAACGUCGUGAGACAGUUCGGUCCCUAUCUGCCGUGGGCGCUGGAGAACUGAGGGGGGCUGCUCCUAGUACGAGAGGACCGGAGUGGACGCAUCACUGGUGUUCGGGUUGUCAUGCCAAUGGCACUGCCCGGUAGCUAAAUGCGGAAGAGAUAAGUGCUGAAAGCAUCUAAGCACGAAACUUGCCCCGAGAUGAGUUCUCCCUGACCCUUUAAGGGUCCUGAAGGAACGUUGAAGACGACGACGUUGAUAGGCCGGGUGUGUAAGCGCAGCGAUGCGUUGAGCUAACCGGUACUAAUGAACCGUGAGGCUUAACCU